rnacentral:lncRNA from 1 species
AGUAUGCGAGGUUGAUUUUUCUCAGUUGGACCGCAGUGGUACCAUCGACUAUAAUUCUCCAGUACUUGUUCGGAUGUUAAAUCCGCGUAAGAGACGGUGCCCGAUUAUUUACACAUACCAGUAAAAUUGCCUCCCAAGACAUCCAUCGCAGAGGUACUCGAGCGUAGCAAUCGUUGAUGUAGUAUGAAAUACAAGAAUUUAUUGCUUGGAUGAGAUCAAACCUGCAGAUGAAACUCACCUGGCAGCCAAAUCACGAUGUGGAAUGUUCAG